rnacentral:rRNA from 1 species
GCUCAGGAUGAACGCUGGCGGCGCGCCUAACACAUGCAAGUCGAGCGAGAGAGAGGGAGCUUGCUUCCUCGAUCGAGUGGCGAACGGGUGAGUAACGCGUGAGGAACCUGCCUCAAAGAGGGGGACAACAGUUGGAAACGACUGCUAAUACCGCAUAAGCCCACGACCCGGCAUCGGGAAGAGGGAAAAGGAGCAAUCCGCUUUGAGGUGGCCUCGCGUCCGAUUAGCUAGUUGGUGAGGUAACGGCCCACCAAGGCGACGAUCGGUAGCCGGACUGAGAGGUUGAACGGCCACAUUGGGAGUGAGACACGGCCCAGACUCCUACGGGAGGCAGCA